GUCGAGAAUCUUUAGCAAUGGACGAAAGUCUGACUAUGCGACGCCGCGUGAGGGAUGAAGAUCUUCGGGUUGUAAACCUCUUUCGACAGGGAAGAAACCUCCGACGUGAAUAUCGUCGGAGCUGACGGUACCUGUAGAAGAAGCCACGGCCAACUCCGUGCCAGCAGCCGCGGUAAUACGGAGGUGGCGAGCGUUACUCGGAUUCAUUGGGUGUAAAGGGCAGGUAGGCGGUUUCGUAAGUUGAAUGUGAAAUCUUCCCGCUUAACGGGAAAACUGCAUUCAAAACUACGAGGCUUGAGGCUGGAAGAGGAGAAUGGAAUUCCCGGUGUAAGGGUGAAAUCUGUAGAUAUCGGGAGGAACACCAGUAGCGAAAGCGAUUCUCUAGUCCAGUUCUGACGCUGAGCUGCGAAAGCUAGGGGAGCAAACAGGAUUAGAAACCCCGGUAGUCC
rnacentral:rRNA from 1 species